GGGGUAUAGCUCAGUUGGUAGAGUGCUUGCCUUGCAUGCACAAGGCCCUGGGUUCAAUCCCCAGCACCACCA
rnacentral:tRNA from 1 species